GCAAGUCGAGGGGUAACAGGAAAAGCUUGCUUUUCGCUGACGACCGGCGCACGGGUGCGUAACGCGUAUAGAACCUACCUUUUACAGAGGGAUAGCCUUUAGAAAUGAAGAUUAAUACCUCAUGGUAUUGAGACUUGGCAUCAAGACUUAAUUAAAGAUUUAUCGGUAAAAGAUGGCUAUGCGUCCUAUUAGCUAGAUGGUAAGGUAACGGCUUACCAUGGCAACGAUAGGUAGGGGCCCUGAGAGGGGGAUC
rnacentral:rRNA from 1 species